rnacentral:rRNA from 1 species
GAAAGAUUCAUCGGAAGAGGACGGGCAUGCGGCGCAUUAGCUAGACGGCGGGGUAACGGCCCACCGUGGCGACGAUGCGUAGGGGUUCUGAGAGGAAGGUCCCCCACACUGGUACUGAGACACGGACCAGACUCCUACGGGAGGCAGCAGUGAGGAAUAUUGGUCAAUGGGAGAGAUCCUGAACCAGCCAAGCCGCGUGAGGGAAGACGGCCCUAUGGGUUGUAAACCUCUUUUGUCGGAGAACAAAACCCGGGACGAGUCCCGGACUGCGUGUAUCCGAAGAAAAAGCAUCGGCUAACUCCGUGCCAGCAGCCGCGGUAAUACGGAGGAUGCGAGCGUUAUCCGGAUUUAUUGGGUUUAAAGGGUGCGUAGGCGGUCCGUUAAGUCAGCGGUAAAAUUGCGGGGCUCAACCCCGUCGAGCCGUUGAAACUGGCAGACUUGAGUUGGCGAGAAGUACGCGGAAUGCGCGGUGUAGCGGUGAAAUGCAUAGAUAUCGCGCAGAACUCCGAUUGCGAAGGCAGCGUACCGGCGCCACACUGACGCUGAGGCACGAAAGCGUGGGGAUCGAACAGGAUUAGAUACCCUGGUAGUCCACGCAGUAAACGAUGAAUGCUGGUUGUCCGGGUCGAAUGAGAUCUGGGCGGCGA